CAAUUUUGGAGAGAGAGAAACUCAAAAACUCUGGUACCCUUUUUCCGAUCAUCGAUUGCCGGAAUCAUAAUCGCUAGGUUUUCCGGCAUCUACGAUCGAAUCGGGUCGAAACAGUUUUGUAAUGGAUACGUACUGUUCGGAUUGCAAGAGGAACACGGAGGUGGUUUUUGACCACGCCGCCGGUGAUACGGUUUGCUCGGAGUGUGGGCUGGUGUUGGAAUCUCGUUCAAUUGAUGAAACAUCUGAGUGGCGUACUUUUGCUGAUGAGUCGGGUGGUGAUGACCCGAAUCGUGUUGGAGGACCCGUUAACCCGUUACUCGGUGAUGCGGCUCUUUCUACAGUGAUAUCUAAAGGGCCUAAUGGUAGUAAUGGAGAUGGUUCUCUUGCUAGGUUGCAGAAUCGUGGUGGUGAUCCUGACCGCGCGAUUGUUUUGGCUUUUAAGGCCAUUGCUACCAUGGCUGAUAGGUUGAGCCUUGUUUCUACUAUAAGGGAUCGAGCAAGUGAGAUAUAUAAGAGGCUUGAAGACCAAAAGUGUACAAGAGGCAGGAAUCUUGACGCUCUGGUCGCUGCUUGUAUCUACAUUGCGUGCCGUCAAGAAGGCAAACCCCGCACUGUAAAAGAAAUAUGCUCAAUUGCCAAUGGAGCUAGUAAGAAGGAGAUUGGCCGAGCAAAAGAGUUCAUUGUGAAACAAUUGAAGGUUGAAAUGGGAGAAUCAAUGGAGAUGGGAACUAUACAUGCUGGGGACUAUCUGAGACGUUUUUGUUCUAACCUUGGUAUGAACCAUGAAGAAAUUAAGGUUGUCCAAGAAACUGUUCAGAAGGCUGAAGAGUUUGAUAUAAGGAGGAGUCCUAUUUCAAUUGCUGCAGCAAUAAUAUACAUGCUAACACAGCUUACAGAUUCAAAGAAACCCCUGCGAGAUAUCUCAAUUGCAACCACAGUUGCAGAAGGGACUAUAAAGAAUGCAUAUAAGGAUCUCUAUCCACAUGCUUCCAAAAUUAUACCUCAAUGGUACCUCAAGGAUAAGGACAUUAAGAGCCUAAGCAGUCCCAAGGCAUAGAGGUUCGAUUUCUACAACACCUGCUGCUCUCGCUAAUCGUCUACCCUUUGGGGGAAGUGUGAUUUCUAUGUUAGGUAUAACGAUAUAUGUCGGUUAAUGUAGUAUAGAAUCUCCUGUUAUAAGGCCUAAAUCUUCAAGAGAGUGCCCAGAAUAGAGACAAUUAGAUAGAUGUAUUGAAGUUAUUAGGGUAGUGUGGUAUAAUAUGUUGAUCCCAUUAGUAAUCAGAUUCUUUUUCAUUUCCUCUUUUCUUCCCUCUCACAAUACAGAUAGGCUAAUUAAUUUCA
rnacentral:misc_RNA from 1 species